rnacentral:rRNA from 1 species
AAUAUUGCACAAUGGAGGGAACUCUGAUGCAGCAACGCCGCGUGAGUGAAGAAGGUUUUCGGAUCGUAAAGCCCUGUCCUUGGGGAAGAAGGUCUUCGGACUUGACGGUAUCCAAUGAGGAACCCCCGGCUAACCACGUGCCAGCCGCCGCGGUAAUACGUAGGGGGCGAGCGUUGUCCGGAAUUACUGGGCGUAAAGGGUACGUAGGCGGCUAUAUAAGUCAGGUGUGAAAUACCAGUGCUUAACACUGGAAUUGCAUUUGAAACUGUGUAGCUUGAGUGCAGGAGAGGAAAGUGGAAUUCCUAGUGUAGCGGUGAAAUGCGUAGAGAUUAGGAGGAACACCAGUGGCGAAGGCGACUUUCUGGACUGUAACUGACGCUGAGGUACGAAAGCGUGGGUAGCGAACA